UGCCGCCCGGGGAACCGCGCCAACCUCCCGAGCCCGAGAUCUACCGGCCGCCCGGUCAACCGUCGCGGGCCGCGGCCUCGCCAUCUAUUGGUCGACGGCGAAGGUGCCUCUUAGCUCUGAUUGGCUGAGGAGACAUAACACUGCUAAGCAUCUUGGGGAAAAUACGUGUCGCUAGGCAACCGCGUCGGCGUCGGUGUGGGCGUCUGGUUGCUUGAUGGAGCAGGCGCCGCGCAGGAAACCCCGGGGAGCUGGGCUCGCAAAGCUUGUUGGGACUCCAUGAUGCCGUCCUCCGCCGCGGUCGCUGGGGUAACGGAGGUCCAGCGAGCUCUCGGUGCAGAGGCUCCCGCCUUUCGACCUUUCCACUUUGACCCUCACCCUUUCCGGUCUCCUCUGCACCUGAGCCGUGUGUGUUGAGGACUCGAUGACCCUGAGGGACGUGAAGAGUGAGCCAAGAGCUUUGUAUACCUCCAUACACUCCUAGGGAGCAAGGAUCCCUGCUCCAGCCCGGGACGGUGGCGCACGCAGGCGGGUAUCUGUGAUUUCGAGGCCAGCCUGGUCUGCCUAGAAUGCUUCUUAUUAAGGCCUCUGCGGAUAUUUGUAGUGAUCGCUGAAGAAUUCAACCAUCAAACACCCCCAGCUCUGAGGCUGAGCCUGCCUAUCUUGGGGGAGCCAUCCUGGGAGUCUGGAGAGAGGCCCUAGACAGGUAGCAUCUGUUAGCUCAGUUCCCUGAAGGGUCCCCAGAACCUGAGACCCGGCGGGCUCUCCUCCAGGAGCCUCGGUGCACUGACACACACGGCCCACUAGAGAGCGGUGUGCCCCCACAUGAUGAGGAGCGGCAUCCAGCCACCUGCAGAGCCAAGACUGGCACAGGAGGAUGUCAGGUCAGACAUUUUGUGAAUGAAUCUUGUCUUGGGGAUUAGCUAGGGCAGUUUGAAAUCUAGGACUAUAGAAAUGCUUUAAAGUUAUUAGUAAAGAUUUCUACAAAGAAAAAUAAGGGGAGAGUUUCUUUGAAUGUAACAACCAGAAGCUAAAAGAUUAAAGAAAAAAAAAGAUGAUUGAGCCAAAAGUGGUAGUGCAAGAGGUUGAGGAUUCCAAGUUCAAGGCUAGCCUGGACAACAUGAUGAUACACUGUCUCAAAAAUGAAAAGUAGGUGCUCAGCCCACCUGUCCUAGAUAAGUGCAGUGCCUGCCCUCACCAAAGAGGCCUCUACAGCAAAUGGAGACCAUCACAGAACACCACAACCAGACACAAAAGCAGAGAUCAACAGAGCAUGGGGAGGCCAGCCCCAUGGAUACAUCUACAUCACAGCUCCUUCACCUAUGG